AAGCGACAAUGAACCCGGUUUAUAACUCUUUCGAUUAUUCUGUAACCUACUAUUAAAUCCUAUUUUUCUUAAUUUUAUUUACUGCAUUUCAGCUUCCCGAGGUUAAGCUAUGUGUCAUUUGGGAAAAAUUUAAAUGGACACUUAUUUUUUAACAACCACACACAAACACUAAACUAGUAAACAAAAUUGAGGAGUGUCAAAUUAUGAGCCAAAAUUCUCUAAUCAGGAUAAACCGCUGCCAUGUAGUUUAGGUUUUUUUGUAAUACCUAAAAUUUGUACAUACCUGGCUUCUACCCCAGUUUUGUCAGAGGGUUUUAGGGUCGUAACUUUUUUUCUUAAAGCCGCAAAACUGGAGAAGAAAAAGAAUUUAAAUUGUUACUUAAUAAAAUUUUAUUUUUAAAGUA
rnacentral:rRNA from 1 species